rnacentral:rRNA from 1 species
AGCUAAUACCGGAUAACACCGAAAACCGCAUGGUUUUCGGUUGAAAGGCGGCUUUUAGCUGUCACUGCAGGAUGGGCCCGCGGCGCAUUAGCUAGUUGGUGAGGUAACGGCUCACCAAGGCGACGAUGCGUAGCCGACCUGAGAGGGUGACCGGCCACACUGGGACUGAGACACGGCCCAGACUCCUACGGGAGGCAGCAGUAGGGAAUCUUCCGCAAUGGACGAAAGUCUGACGGAGCAACGCCGCGUGAGCGAAGAAGGUCUUCGGAUCGUAAAGCUCUGUUGUCAGGGAAGAACAAGUACCGUUCGAACAGGGCGGUACCUUGACGGUACCUGACGAGGAAGCCACGGCUAACUACGUGCCAGCAGCCGCGGUAAUACGUAGGUGGCAAGCGUUGUCCGGAAUUAUUGGGCGUAAAGCGCGCGCAGGCGGUUCCUUAAGUCUGAUGUGAAAUCUCGCGGCUCAACCGCGAGCGGCCAUUGGAAACUGGGGAACUUGAGUGCAGGAGAGGGGAGCGGAAUUCCACGUGUAGCGGUGAAAUGCGUAGAGAUGUGGAGGAACACCAGUGGCGAAGGCGGCUCUCUGGCCUGUAACUGACGCUGAGGCGCGAAAGCGUGGGGAGCGAACAGGAUUAGAUACCCUGGUAGUCCACGCCGUAAACGAUGAGUGCUAAGUGUUAGAGGGUAUCC